rnacentral:rRNA from 1 species
ACACAUGCAAAGUCGAGCGGCAGCGACAACAUUGACCCUUCGGGGGAUUUGUUGGGCGGCGAGCGGCGGACGGGUGAGUAAUGCCUGGGAACAUGCCUUAGUGUGGGGGAUAACCAUUGGAAACGAUGGCUAAUACCGCAUAAUCUCUUCGGAGCAAAGAGGGGGACCUUCGGGCCUCUCGCGCUAAGAUUGGCCCAGGUGGGAUUAGCUAGUAGGUGGGGUAACGGCUCACCUAGGCGACGAUCCCUAGCUGGUCUGAGAGGAUGAUCAGCCACACUGGAACUGAGACACGGUCCAGACUCCUACGGGAGGCAGCAGUGGGGAAUAUUGCACAAUGGGGGAAACCCUGAUGCAGCCAUGCCGCGUGUGUGAAGAAGGCCUUCGGGUUGUAAAGCACUUUCAGCAGUGAGGAAGGCGGUAUCGUUAAUAGCGGUAUCGUUUGACGUUAGCUGCAGAAGAAGCACCGGCUAACUCCGUGCCAGCAGCCGCGGUAAUACGGAGGGUGCGAGCGUUAAUCGGAAUUACUGGGCGUAAAGCGCAUGCAGGCGGCUUGUUAAGCCAGAUGUGAAAGCCCGGGGCUCAACCUCGGAAUCGCAUUUGGAACUGGCAGGCUAGAGUCUUGUAGAGGGGGGUAGAAUUUCAGGUGUAGCGGUGAAAUGCGUAGAGAUCUGAAGGAAUACCGGUGGCGAAGGCGGCUCCUCUGGACAAAGACUGACGCUCAGAUGCGAAAGCGUGGGGAGCAAACAGGAUUAGAUACCCUGGUAGUCCACGCCGUAAACGAUGUCUACUUGGAGGUUGGUGUCUUGAACACUGGCUUUCGGAGCUAACGCGUUAAGUAGACCGCCUGGGGAGUACGGGUCGCAAGAUUAAAACUCAAAUGAAUUGACGGGGGCUCGCACAAGCGGUGGAGCAUGUGUUUAAUUUCGAUGCAACGCGAGAACCUUACCUACUCUUGACAUCACGGAAUCUUGCAGAGAUGCUGGGAGUGCUUUCGGGAACUGUGAGAACAGUGCUGCAUGCUGUCGUCAGCUCGUGUUGUGAA